rnacentral:rRNA from 1 species
AGAUUGAACGCUAGCGGCAUGCCUAACACAUGCAAGUCGAACGGUAACAGGCCCUUCGGGGUGCUGACGAGUGGCGGACGGGUGAGUAAGGCAUCGGAAUCUGCCCUGAUGUGGGGGAUAACGUAGGGAAACUUACGCUAAUACCGCAUACGACCGAGAGGUGAAAGCGGGGGAUCGUAAGACCUCGCGCUGGUGGAUGAGCCUACGUCCGAUUAGUUAGUUGGUGGGGUAAAGGCCUACCAAGGCGACGAUCGGUAGCUGGUCUGAGAGGAUGAUCAGCCACACUGGGACUGAGACACGGCCCAGACUCCUACGGGAGGCAGC